AGUGAACGCUGGCGGCGUGCUUAACACAUGCAAGUCGAACGAGAACGGAAUAUAGCUUGCUAUAUUUGUCAGCUAAGUGGCGCACGGGUGAGUAGCGUAUAGAUAACCUGCCCUUAAGAAAGGAAUAACAGUUGGAAACGACUGCUGAUGCCCUAUAUGCCUUUAAUACAUAAGUAUGCAAGGGAAACGCUUUAGUGCUUAAGGAUGGGUCUGUAUGGUAUCAGCUUGUUGGUGAGGUAAUGGCUCACCAAGGCUAUGACGCCUAACUGGUUUGAGAGGAUGAUCAGUCACACUGGAACGGAGACUCGGUCCAGACUCCUACGGGAGGCAGCGGUGGGGAAUAUUGCACAAUGGACGAAAGUCUGAUGCAGCAACGCCGCGUGGAGGAUGACACAUUUCGGUGCGUAAACUCCUUUUAUAUAGGAAGAUAAUGACGGUACUAUAUGAAUAAGCACCGGCUAACUCUGUGCCAGCCGCCGCGGUAA
rnacentral:rRNA from 1 species